GCUAUAUCUUUUUUAUUUAUAAUAGGACGAUGAGGGAAUAAAAUCAUCGUGAUGCAAUCAGUUUCUGCUAAACAUCAUACUUUGUUAGAGACAGCAGGUGUCCUCUUAUAGCCGAGAGUAUAUAUGAACGUAGGUACAUGUAACAAAUUGAUUUUAGAUGUACAUAAAAUGACAAAUAUUGUAUGCAUGACAUAGAAUUAAAAUAGCAAUACUUCAUUAAAAAUUACUGACACACCUACGUUAAAGGAUUUUCUGUUCCUAAGACACCACAACGAAAAGAUUAAAGAUGACAGCGAUAUAACCUCUAAUCUACAAUGUGACAUAAUAUCGUUCAGGAAAAUAAAGAGGAAAAGAGAAUCGAACUUUUUAGCACGUUAUGUUGAUACUGGUAAUGUAGUAAUAUUGUGACACAGAUCGUGAAUGGGAAGUGUAUAGUAUAUAAAAAGAUAGAGUUUUAGGUUAUGUCGAAGCGAGAUUAACGUUAGGUAUCACGCGCGCUGCUGUAUAAGGCGAUUAAUUACAAUAAAUCCUGCGAAGUACGUUAUUUCUUUAGGAAAUUGCAAGCCAAGAUAGAAAUAGGCAGAGGCAAAGGAAUGCGAAAUUCCUUGAAGAAAGUCGUAACACGAAUCGUAUGUAUUCUGCGUAAAAGUAGAUUUUACUCAAUGCACAUGCCGGGCAAAAGAGACGGGCAAAGAACUGGAAUGCUCAGAAUGUUAAUCGUUUAAUGGGAUAUAAUCGGUUAAUGGGAGUCUGCAUUCAACCGAAGCCUUCCAUACAAGCCGGAUGAUCGCGUUUCGACCCCUCGUGCGACUUCAUUUUUCAUCACGACAAUAAAGAUUAGCUUGUCGUUAAAGGUGAAUUAUUAAGACUAUUAUGAAACAAGUUGGAAAGCGAGAUAUCGUUAUAUGUAUACAAUAGGCGAGUACGGUGGCUGUGAAGAAUAUCCACACAACAUUGUAUUUAUUAUAGCAUUCACACUAAUUAAUUAGUCUCAAGUAUAUAUUUAUAUAUUUUAUGUAAUUUCGGCUUCACGGCCGGAAAAUGGACUUGAUUUUAUAAUAUUUUUUAAAACUCGUAUAUGCUUAUAUCUUUCUCACAGUUCGGUUUUAGACAUCAAGUUUGUAAAACUGAGCCUAUUCUUAUAUAUAGGGUGCAACAGAACAUAUAAUAGAAACAAUAGAAAACGUUCCUCUAGACAUUUAUUCUAUCCGUUUUCGUUUACGGGAUACGACGAAUUUUUCUCUUGAUUUUGUGUUAUCUAAUUACCUUUACAGAAGAUACUGAAGAAGAUGACCACCUUGCGUUUUAAGGUAAGCCUGUAGACGUCUUGUUAUAAACCCAGUUACACUCUGAAUGGUAUUCAACAUCUUCUAUAGGUUUAGUGUUUAUGAAAAUUCGUUGUCUCAUAAGCGAAGACAGACAGAGCAUAUAUUUCUACCAACUUUUUUCAUUGCUUCUUGUCACAUCACCCGUUAAGAUAUUAGUGACUACAAUGCAUGUAUUUUAUAUAUAUAUAUAAUAAAGUACAUUGUAGUUAUUAAUAUCUUAUCAGAUUCUUAUUUGUAUCUUAUCCUCCUUAAUAACUUAUCUUAUCCUAUAAUAUCGAAUUCUAUUAACAUCUGUUGUUUUAUAACUACAGUUUACCCUCUUAUUUUUAUGAUCUUGUUAGAUUAUCUCUGUAUAUAUUCUCUGUUAGUUCUCUGUCAAUUAUCUCUGUAUAUAUGUAAUUAUAAUAAAUAAAUAUAUAUAUAUCUAUAGUAGUAUAUAUAGGUAUAUAUGUAAAAUAUUAUGUAUGUGCAUAUAUAAUGUUCGAUUUACGAUAAUUUAAUCUCUCAUUCUCAGUUAACAGAUUGAUGAUAGCUUUAAGCUGGCAGAUUUCUCCAUCAUUUUUAUGCAAAUGCGAUUCCUUUCAGCGUGCAGCUAACAUUUAAUCCGACCCCGUGUCGUAUGCAUGAUAAAUAAGCGCACGCUGUAGUUACAGGUCGUAAUUAUCGCGGAGUAUCAUUCUUUCGUGCCAAGAAGAGACCGACCUCGCCGCACUGUUCGGCUUUUCCUAUCCUUACAAGGGACCCACACAUUGUUCUAGACUGGCAGAAUACCAACAUCGUCUCGUGUUUCCCACUGGGACACAACGAUACCUCAUACCUGGAAAUAAUACGCAUCCACUGCUUCCUGUCGCUUUAAAACGAUUUACUGUACCUUUUUACUUGGGUCCUGUCUAUCUAGUCUACAGAACAUGUUCGAAAUAAGUACGUACACUCCUGCUUGUAAACAAAAUAGAGCCCUACUCAUUCUAACAUCUAUUAGCCGAAUACCCUAAUAUCCGAACGGUUUAUUAUCUGAACAUAAUAUUUCCCAGUAAUGGAUACUUAGAUUUGAUAGACGAACUAAGAACUGAAUCGAAAUUUCGAAUUAAUUAAGAACAGAUACGAUAGAGAAAUUAAUAUCAAUUAUGAAAAGUAACUUCCUUUAUUUCGAUAGAUUUUUAACGAAAGACUUCUCUAAGGUAAAUACGUAGCAGGUUAUUAAACAGAGUUUUUCAUCUACUGCAUUGUGCUGAAAUUCCUCUGCACCAUUUCAAUUUGUAAUUCUUAUUAAAAGAAUUAAAAAGGAAUAUUAAUGGUACACACGUUUCCAAGUAUCUUUUAAUUGUUACUGAAAAUCGUAAUACCUGUAAUACGUAAUUUAACGAUUAUGGCAUCACGUUUGUUCGCGACUCAUCCUCAUUAAUCUUCACGCCAUUAUUCCUGGCAUUAGGAGCACGUUAUUAAUUGCGAUAUUGUAUCAUUUCCUCGUUAAUUGUGUUAAUUGACUCCGAUCCACCUGGAGUAUACUAUUAUUUUAUUCAAUUCCAGCGUCAAAGCCUAUGAUCUGAUAUGAUUAGUAAUGGAUUCUCUAUUAAUCAGAUUCAAAUGGCUGUUGAAAUUCAAUCGAGAGAAAGAGUGAGAAAGGAAACCGAUACGAUAAAAACAAAUGAAAAUUUCUCUUAGAAACUCGUUGCAAAAUAAUUAACGACUCUCGAUCUUCUGUAUGUUCUAGUCUAAUUAAAACAUCCCAGCGCAAAGAAAUAUCUUAAUAUGUUCUUCUUUUCUACUUUUGAGAUCUUAGAGCGAUUGUCAUAUAGACAAAUUUAAAUAAUAAAAAACAGCGGGCAAAUUGUGAAAGCAAACGCCGAAGUGGAUGUAGAAAGAUUGCACUGCUUCAUACAAAGUGCGCAAUGAGAAUUAAAGUAAUUUGUCUAGAACGCUAAGAUAGCACAGUAUCAUUUAGGGCAAUGUGAUAUUAAUUACUAGCAAUAAGGAUAGUAGUAAGACUCAGAGGGAUAGUACAAAUUAAGACUACGUACAAGAAAGAUUGUUACUUAUACAGAGUGUCCCGAACUUAACUCUCCAUCUACAAUAUUAUUUUUACUGACGUUGUCUAGUGGUUGAUCUUUGUAUGUCCUUUACGUAUUCACCUACAAAAUAGCUAACAUGUAGUACCAAAUCUUAGUCUCUUUGACGCCAUUUAACUCUUAUUAGAAAGGUUUCUUCAUAGAGCGAGUAAUUUUGUAAUAUUUAGAAAUCAUGAAGUUAGUUAGCUUUGUCCUACUUAGAGUCGGUUACUUCACUCGCUAAGAAAUAAUUUCCUGUUUCCUCGUUAAUGCCACGCUAUUUUCCUUCUAUAUAUUUGCCUGUGAAAUAUGAACACAUCGUAAAUAGUAUCGAUGCAAGGGCCAAUGGAACUGCAACAUCAUUUUCCAAGAGAACGGUUUAGUUGCGACUGAUGAUUCUUUUUUCAAAGUUGAUGUCCGCGAUGUUAAUAUGAUAGAGUAAAAAAACUGACCUUUUGGCCUUGAUUUUCAGGUUCAAGGACAACGUUGCGCGGGCCUUUCGGGUGAAAUCUCCGUCAAACGGAAGGUGAUAGAGUCGUCAGACUGUCAGACUUAUAAUGACUUUUAUCGACAAUAUUUACACACCCUGUACAUUAGAAAAACGACUUUGCAGACCUUCGUAUUUUCGCGGCGAUCAACUUCAACGCUUCGAUAACGGAACAGAAAAAAAGAAAGGAACGAAUUAAAAAUAAUUGAAAGAAGGAAAGAUGAAGGAGGAAGACAAAGUUCACGGUUCGAGUGAUCGACGAGUUUCACCGUUCCGCUUUGUGUUCUCAUCCACUUCCGGGCUUUCAGAGGACGGGGAAAACAGAGCAGGAAGAUCUGUCUUCGUAUCAAGAUUUAAAAUUCCGUCUGGCGCUUUACAAGAAGACAGUCAAUACGAAGGUAUUACAGGGAACAGAGGGAGAUAUAGGAAAAAGAAUAAUGGAGUAUGCACAGGGGAUCUACCGGUAGUUUUCUAUUUCUUUCCUCGUUGAAACGUUCCUCCUACAGUAUCGUUGAGGAACGGUAUCGGUUCUAACUACUCUUCACUGAUCCAUCGAGCCUUUACAGAAGUAAGUUUUAUUUUAAACAGGAUAGAUAGUAAGUAAUAAGUACAUGCUAAUUACGAAGGAAGAAUUAAAUAACGCGAUGUAACAGAAUAAAAUAGCAAUGUAAUAUGUGCAGUUGAUGUUAAAACGGGUCUUUACAGUGUUCUCUUUUUGGAAUUUAUUAUAGUUUAAUGUUUUUUUUAUUGAGAAUAUUUUUCCUUGAAUUUUAUAAAGACGUUUUCGUUUUCAGUAAGUUUCUGGAAACGAUUUAUGAUCACCGACAAUAAUUUGUCUGAGGUCGGACACUCGAAUAAGCUACUUUAAGUAGAAUGUUGCCGCACGGUCGUACAAACCUAUUGUAUUUUAUUUCUGUGCCACAACACCGACUGUAUCCUAGACAAGCUACUUUGUGAAAUUGCUUUUUAAAAUCUUAUAUGUACUUAGUAAAGAGAGCAUUUUAUAGCAUUUUAUUACCUUAGUAACUUAUUACAUGCAAACUGAUUUGGAUUAGAACAGUUAUGUUGGUGUACGUGGUAACAGAGGCGACGCAAAAGAAUAUUUCCAACUCUGCUCGAAUACGUUCCAAGUAGGUUGGCAAGUGUACCGGGGCACGCUGGCUUUUGACCCACUUUGAGCUUCGCAAGCUCUCCUAACCUUAAAACAAGCACUGCUAUUCCAGUCUAUACCGCUUCUAAUACGUUACAUGUUACUUGACUGCAGUUUUAGCAUGCUGCAUGCGAGGCCUAUCAAAUUACUAAGGAGGAAGUUUUAAUUCUCUUCGAUCAUCAUUUUCGAUAGAACUAACUUUUCCAUUGAAUAACGAGGUUCUUUCGGCCUGUAAUAGUCCAACGGCUGCUGAAACAAGGCCUCUAAUCAUGAUUCCAAUAUAUUAUAGAUUCUUGGAUUUGAAACCUUAAGCGAAGAAGAUAUAGCUACGUCACAGAUUAGGUUAUUAAUUGAUAACUGCAAUUGUAUAAAUCAUAGUCUAAUAAAUAUGCACAUAUGUAUACAUACAUACGUA